rnacentral:rRNA from 1 species
ACGAACGCUGGCGGCGUGGAUAAGACAUGCAAGUCGAACGAGAGAAUUGCUAGCUUGCUAAUAAUUCUCUAGUGGCGCACGGGUGAGUAACACGUGAGUAACCUGCCCCCGAGAGCGGGAUAGCCCUGGGAAACUGGGAUUAAUACCGCAUAGUAUCGAAAGAUUAAAGCAGCAAUGCGCUUGGGGAUGGGCUCGCGGCCUAUUAGUUAGUUGGUGAGGUAACGGCUCACCAAGGCGAUGACGGGUAGCCGGUCUGAGAGGAUGUCCGGCCACACUGGAACUGAGACACGGUCCAGACACCUACGGGUGGCAGCAGUCGAGAAUCAUUCACAAUGGGGGAAACCCUGAUGGUGCGACGCCGCGUGGGGGAAUGAAGGUCUUCGGAUUGUAAACCCCUGUCAUGUGGGAGCAAAUUAAAAAGAUAGUACCACAAGAGGAAGAGACGGCUAACUCUGUGCCAGCAGCCGCGGUAAUACAGAGGUCUCAAGCGUUGUUCGGAAUCACUGGGCGUAAGGCGUGCGUAGGCUGUUUCGUAAGUCGUGUGUGAAAGGCGCGGGCUCAACCCGCGGACGGCACAUGAUACUGCGAGACUAGAGUAAUGGAGGGGGAACCGGAAUUCUCGGUGUAGCAGUGAAAUGCGUAGAUAUCGAGAGGAACACUCGUGGCGAAGGCGGGUUCCUGGACAUUAACUGACGCUGAGGCACGAAGGCCAGGGGAGCGAAAGGGAUUAGAUACCCCUGUAGUCCUGGCAGUAAACGGUGCACGCUUGGUGUGCGGGGAAUCGACCCCCUGCGUGCCGGAGCUAACGCGUUAAGCGUGCCGCCUGGGGAGUACGGUCGCAAGAUUAAAACUCAAAGAAAUUGACGGGGACCCGCACAAGCGGUGGAGUAUGUGGCUUAAUUCGAUGCAACGCGAAGAACCUUACCUGGGCUUGACAUGUAAUGAACAACAUGUGAAAGCAUGCGACUCUUCGGAGGCGUUACACAGGUGCUGCAUGGCCGUCGUCAGCUCGUGUCGUGAGAUGUUUGGUUAAGUCCAGCAACGAGCGCAACCCCUGUUGCCAGUUACCAGCACGUGAAGGUGGGGACUCUGGCGAGACUGCCCAGAUCAACUGGGAGGAAGGUGGGGACGACGUCAGGUCAGUAUGGCCCUUAUGCCCAGGGCUGCACACGUAUUACAAUGCCCAGUACAGAGGGGGCCGAAGCCGCGAGGCGGAGGAAAUCCUAAAAACUGGGCCCAGUUCGGACUGUAGGCUGCAACCCGCCUACACGAAGCCGGAAUCGCUAGUAAUGGCGCAUCAGCUACGGCGCCGUGAAUACGUUCCCGGGUCUUGUACACACCGCCCGUCACAUCAUGGAAGCCGGUCGCACCCGAAGUAUCUGAAGCCAACCGCAAGGAGGCAGGGUCCUAAGGUGAGACUGGUAACUGGGAUG